UACGUAGGGUGCAAGCGUUGUCCGGAAUUAUUGGGCGUAAAGCGCACGUAGGCGGUUCGUUAAGUCGGAUGUGAAAGCCCUCGGCUCAACUGAGGAAGUGCACCCGAAACUGGCGAGCUUGAGUACGAAAGAGGAUCGCGGAAUUCCCGGUGUAGAGGUGAAAUUCGUAGAUAUCGGGAGGAACACCGGUGGCGAAGGCGGCGAUCUGGGUCGAUACUGACGCUGAGGUGCGAAAGCGUGGGGAGCAAACAGGG
rnacentral:rRNA from 1 species